GCUCAGUUAGUUAAGGGUCUGACUCUUGAUUUCAUCUCAGGUUAUAAUUUCACAGUUUGUGAGUUCGAGCCCCACAUUGGGCU
rnacentral:tRNA from 1 species